rnacentral:lncRNA from 1 species
UUCAGAAACUAAAUUAAAUGACUCUUUUCCAGAUGCUUAAUAUUUGGUGAAUGAUUAUCACUUUUGGCGAGCUGACAGAAAACAUAAAGGUGGUGAGGUAGCAGCCUAUCUCAGAUCAGACAUAGCCGGGGACAGAAAACUUGAGUUAGAAUUUGAAGAUAUUGAAUCUAUCUGUAUCGAGGAAACGCAAAAAUGAGGUCUACCGUGGCUUUGUGUCUUACUAUUCUGCUUCUUUCUGUAGUUUCUACAAAUGCGCAAUGGGCUUAUGGAUAUCCAAGAUGGGGCGGAGGAUGGGGUCCGCGCUGGGGUCCACGCUGGGGACGAGGCAGGGGAUUAGCUUUUCUUGGAUCUGCAGCUCUUUUGAGAUCUGGCAGUCCUUUUGGACGUGUGAUCGGUGGCUUAGGCCUCCUAAGGCUGAUUGGAUAAUGUUGGCGAAUAAGGCGCUUUCCAGCCUAAUCAGCUGGGACGAGUGUGAAGGUCAUCGAAGGAGUUUUGCAUAUUGUGUCAUUUUCAAAUAUUUUAUAUACAUUCGUUUGAGUAAAAAUUAAUAUACCGUGUACUUGUUUAUUCGCAUUUGUUACUAGAUUUUCAAAUAUUUACAUGCCAUAUAUAUAUAUACACUUGACAAUGAAAAGAUAUGUAUAUAUAUAUAUGUAUAAUUAUGAACAAAAAAG